rnacentral:piRNA from 1 species
UAAAGAUAUGUCCUGGAUAUGUCUUGGUGU